CAACCUGCCCGCCACUUGGGGAUAACCUUGCGAAAGUAAGACUAAUACCCAAUGAUAUCUCUAGAAGACAUCUGAAAGAGAUUAAAGACUUAUCAGUGAUGGAUGGGGAUGCGUCUGAUUAGCUUGUUGGCGGGGUAACGGCCCACCAGGCAACGAUCAGUAGGGGUUCUGAGAGGAAGGUCCCCCACAUUGGAACUGAGACACGGUCCAAACUCCUACGGGAGGCAGCAGUGAGGAAUAUUGGUCAAUGGGCGAGAGCCUGAACCAGCCAGGUAGCGUGCAGGAAGACGGCCCUAUGGGUUGUAAACUGCUUUUAUAAGGGAAUAAAGUGGGUCACGUGUGACUUUUUGCAUGUACCUUAUGAAUAAGGACCGGCUAAUUCCGUGCCAGCAGCCGCGGUAAUACGGAAGGUCCGGGCGUUAUCCGGAUUUAUUGGGCUUAAAGGGAGCGUAGGCCGGAGAUUAAGCGUGUUGUGAAAUGUAGAGGCUCAACCUCUGCACUGCAGCGCGAACUGGUCUUCUUGAGUACGCACAACGUGGGCGGAAUUCGUGGUGUAGCGGUGAAAUGCUUAGAUAUCACGAAGAACUCCGAUUG
rnacentral:rRNA from 1 species